CAGGAAGGAAGAAUCAUAGAGAUAGGAAGUGAGGUAGGGGAAGGUUAGAAUAGGGGCUGAGAGUCAGCUGAUUGGUCUGUCAAUUGAUGAUACUCAGUGGGGGGAGUAUGAUUUGAGAUCGAAAAAGGACAAAAGUGUUCACUCACCAAGAAGUUAAAAGUUAAGAAACCUAAGAAGAUGCUAUGUUUUGGAGUCUUGCAUUCUUGCAAAAGGUAUCCUUCCGGAACCCCAAAGAGUGUGGUCAUAUCCAGAUCAUCUAAUAUAGAAGAACCCACAUGGAGCUACUUUUGGUAGACUGGAGCAGUGGUGCAGGUAUGUACAUUUUGAGUUAACCUAUUAUGUAGUCAGUUGAAGCCUCUUUCCAUUGAAUACAGCGGGAAAUGCAAACAUCUUGAAAACUACAUUUAAUAUAUAGCCUUGGGAUGGCCGUGAUCUUUUUUCUGGUAUGUACAGAGGUGAAUAACUCAUUUACAGCAGAUGAAAUCAUGCAGUAAGAGAACUGAGACAUAAUGACUUCGUUCUCCAGGCCAUGCAAUCCUAAGAAACAGUUCUUGGAAUAUUGGUCUAUUCCAUUCAUCUUUUCCAAUUCCAGGUGAAGAAAGGUCCAGAUUUUUUAGCCAUGGAGUCGAGUAUUCUAGUAG
rnacentral:lncRNA from 1 species